GCGUAUCACUCAAUGGCACUAGAUGAAUUCACGGUCCAUUUGUAAUUUUCCGUGUAUUCGCCAGUUCCAUAGAGUUACGCUA
rnacentral:pre_miRNA from 1 species